GGGAACGCGGUCAAAGACACCACCGGGGAUGGUUGGCGGGGGCCUGAGUGAGGUUCCAACUGCCUAGGCCUCUGCAUCUUGAGGCCCUGGCGUUCUGUGCGACCUGCCCGUGGUGAUCCCCGUGGCCUCCAGUGUCCUCCGGGCUGACUGGGAACCUGGCAUCCCCGAGGUCGGGAGGACGGGGUGGGGCUGCGGACAGGAGAGAUGGACGCCCGAGCGAGCCUUGAACCGAAAGUGAACCCCGGGAGCACCGACCUCCUGUAGUCCGGGGCUUUCUCUCUGAAGCCAAAAAUACCCCGGGUCAUAGUUUGCUUUUUCUUUUCUAAGUAGCCAUAUUUACAUAAAUCCCCACUGGAAAUUUCCACCUUUCAAGACUGACCGCUGUUUUUGGUGUUUCCAGAGGCUAAAUGAAGUCAGGGGAUUUUUACAAGUUGAAGUGACCCUCCCCCUCUGCCCAGGCAGAGAGAUGAGUUUGCUAACCCUCCCCUCCUCUAACCCCAGGCCAGCUGUGCCUAUCAAAGUACCCAGAGGGCUGGGCUGGGGGUCCCCAGGGAUGGGGCUGUGGUCCUGGAGUGGGGAAGUGGACCCCCAGGAGUGGGCAACCCCUCAGCCCUCAUCCCUGGGUAUUUCACCACCAAAGUUAAGCUCUAUCUUCAGAGUUCCCCACUUCCUCCUUUCCUUCCUUGGAAAUUCGGUUGCAAAUAUCACUACAUGGUGUAACCUUUAAAGGUAAACUUCUGAAAUGGCCAGCUCCAAAUAAAAACUAGCCUUUUGUGAGGGAUCCAACUCCAAACCAAACUGGUUUUCCCUUUUAGAAAUGCUCCCCUUUUACCACAAAGACAAGAGAUGCUCAGUGUUGUGAGAGAACACACAAUUAGGCCUUGGGGAUUUUUAAGUCAACAUUAUAUGUACAAAAUCUACCCAAAAAGGAGAAAGCAGCUUAUCAAAACUGCCAACGGACUCAGAACUCUUAAUAGAAAGCAAAGUGAGAUGACCUAACGGUGGAGCCAUGCAUGAACCCUCCCCAUGCAUGCGUGUGUGCUAAGUCACUUCAGACUCUUUGCAACCCCACGGACUGCAGCCUGCCAGGCUCCUCUGACCAUGGGGAUUCUUCAGGCAAGAAAUACUGAAGUGGGUUGCCAUGCCCUCCUCCAAGGGAUAUUCCCAACCCAAGGAUCAAAC
ensembl:lncRNA